rnacentral:rRNA from 1 species
GACGUAGGGCGCGAGCGUUGUCCGGAUUUAUUGGGCGUAAAGAGCUCGUAGGCGGCUUGUUGCGUCGGCUGUGAAAACCCGCGGCUUAACCGCGGGCCUGCAGCCGAUACGGGCAGGCUAGAGUUCGGUAGGGGAGACUGGAAUUCCUGGUGUAGCGGUGGAAUGCGCAGAUAUCAGGAGGAACACCGAUGGCGAAGGCAGGUCUCCGGGCCACUACUGACGCUGAGAAGCGAAAGCAUGGGGAGCGAACAGG